AUGAACGCUGACAGAAUGCUUAACACAUGCAAGUCUUUGGCGAAGCUGUGCUUGCACAGCCUAGCCAAGGCGGACGGGUGAGUAACGCGUAAGGAACUUGCCCUGCAGUCAGGGAUAACAGACGGAAACGACUGAUAAGACCUGGUAAAGUCAGGCGGACUCAUGUCCAGCCUGAUGAAAAGAGAUGCUGCAGGAGAGCCUUGCGUCCUAUUAGCUUGUUGGUGGGGUAACGGCCCACCAAGGCGAUGAUAGGUAGCCGGCCUGAGAGGGUGGACGGCCACAAGGGGACUGAGAUACGGCCCUUACUCCUACGGGAGGCAGCAGUGGGGAAUAUUGGACAAUGGGGGCAACCCUGAUCCAGCAAUUCUGUGUUCACGAUGAAGGUUUUCGGAUUGUAAAGUGCUUUCAGCAGGGAAGAAAAAAAUGACGGUACCUGCAGAAGAAGCGACGGCUAAAUACGUG
rnacentral:rRNA from 1 species